rnacentral:rRNA from 1 species
UACGUAGGGUCCGAGCGUUUGUCCGGAUUUAUUGGGCGUAAAGAGCUCGUAGGUGGUUUGUCGCGUUGUUCGUGAAAACUCACAGCUCAACUGUGGGCGUGCGGGCGAUACGGGCAGACUAGAGUACUGCAGGGGAGACUGGAAUUCCUGGUGUAGCGGUGGAAUGCGCAGAUAUCAGGAGGGAACACCGGUGGCGAAGGCGGGUCUCUGGGCAGUAACUGACGCUGGAGGAGCGAAAGCCGUGGGGAGCGAACAGG